rnacentral:lncRNA from 1 species
AAAAAUACAAAAAUACACUCCCCUCUUCUCAUAUGUCUCAGAAUCACUUCAAAAGAAAAAAGAGAACUUCACAUACUUAGCAAAGUUACAGCAAACAAAAAUACCAUACAAGAUAUCAUCUCACUAUCACAACACAUAACAACCAUGGAUAAACAUAAAACUCCAACAUAACCCUCCUCCUCCAUCAUCAUCUUCACCUUAACAAAACUCAUCAAUAAACAUCAUUAUUUUCUUCAUAAAACCAUAUUAAACCUUCACUUUUGGUUUUCAUACAAUAAACCACCACCACCGCCUCUGUUUCGACACUGAAAAUGCAACCGAAUUUGCGUUCACCGGCGCCUUCACCUUGACUCCGCCGUGAUCUCCGUUUGCAACUCACCA